AGAGUUUGGCCACGUGGGAGACAGAGAAUAAAAUCUACUGCAAGCAGACGCUUGUGGAUCAAGACGGACCCGUCACAUUCUGGAGCAGAGAGCUACGUGGAGACGAACUGAUCCUGAUCUUUGGGGCCGACGACGUGGUGUGCACAAGGAUUUACGUGCGAGAAUGAGGUGAAGUGGAGACCGUGACCAUGAAAAACACAACCAAACAGCCCUGCGUCCCAAGAUACCUUGUGUCUAGAAACACCAGAACCCUUCUUUACAUGUGAACAUGCAUCCGUUCAGUGCAUUGUGGGUGUUUUUAUUCUGUUUGUACCUCUCUCUUUGUCCGUUUCUGACACAGAUGUGUGUAUUGCAAACAAAAGCAGUAAUAAAAAUGUAAACGAACAU